rnacentral:rRNA from 1 species
AUUGAACGCUGGCGGCAGGCCUAACACAUGCAAGUCGAACGGUAGCACAGAGGAGCUUGCUCCUUGGGUGACGAGUGGCGGACGGGUGAGUAAUGUCUGGGAAACUGCCCGAGGGAGGGGGAUAACUACUGGAAACGGUAGCUAAUACCGCAUAACGUCUUCGGACCAAAGUGGGGGACCUUCGGGCCUCACACCAUCGGAUGUGCCCAGAUGGGAUUAGCUAGUAGGUGGGGUAAUGGCUCACCUAGGCGACGAUCCCUAGCUGGUCUGAGAGGAUGACCAGCCACACUGGAACUGAGACACGGUCCAGACUCCUACGGGAGGCAGCAGUGGGGAAUAUUGCACAAUGGGCGCAAGCCUGAUGCAGCCAUGCCGCGUGUAUGAAGAAGGCCUUCGGGUUGUAAAGUACUUUCAGCGGGGAGGAAGGCGUUAAGGUUGAUAACCUUGGCGAUUGACGUUACCCGCAGAAGAAGCACCGGCUAACUCCGUGCCAGCCGCCGCUGUAA